GCCUGCCCUGCACAUCACAUUGCAUGUGAUGUGGAGUGGUUAGUAAUAAGUUGUCAGUUUAUAGGGACGAAAAUCGCGAAGCGAUUUUCGUCAGACACGCUUCGCGUGUCACCAAAAACUGACAACUAAAAACUAUAAACUUCGCAUCAUGCGUAGCGUGAUGUGCAGGGCCGCAGCGAAAGAUUUCCUGGCGACUGUUUAACAAAAACACAGCUCUCUGCGAACACGUAAGUGGAUGUAUAGAGGGUGACGCCUGACCUAUGCUGGAAGGUUAAGUACGGGGGGUGAUAUGGAGUAAUCUGUAUUGCUAGACUGUAUAAGCCCCAGUAAAUGUCAGCGAUAACUAUAAUCGUUCUAAGGUAGAGCGCAUUUCCGCAAGGAAGUACGCUCUACGGAUUAGAACGAUUGUAGGUUAAGCAGCCCUAGCCAUAGUUACCUUACCUAUCGAAAGAUAGAGUAAUCCAAAUCUAGCCAACAAGAGACCAAAUGCUAGACAUCCGCAACGGGUCAUGCCGUGGAUGAAGAUAGAGUCCUAUUGUGUACGUACAAGUCAAGGCUUGUACAUAAAAGAAGGAAAAAUAGAGCGUAUUUCCUUGUCGGGUAAGUUCCGACCUGCACGAAUGGCGUAACGACUGGGAAACUGUCUCGAGGACCUGCUCGGUGAAAAUACAAUACCGGUAAAGAUGCCGGUUACCUGCAGAUAGACGAAAAGACCCCAGGUGCUUUACUGUAGCUUCGUAUUGGGGCUAUUGAAUUCAUGCGUAGCAUAGGUGGGAGACUUUGAAGCGGGCUUUCGGGUACCGUGGAGUCGUCAGUGAAAUACCACUCUUGAUUUUGGUAGUUUCUAACCAGAUAGGCAAAACCUAUCUGAGACAGUGCGUGGCAGGCAGUUUUAGUGGGGCGCUACCCUCCCAAAAAGUAACGGAGGGGUCUCAAGGUUGGUUAGGCGCGAAUGGAAACCGUGCCGAUAGUGUAAUGGCAUAAACCAGCUUGACUGUAAGGCGUAGAUGCCGAACAGACGCGAAAGCGGAGCAUAGUGAACCGAUGGAUCGCGUUAGAUGCGUCCGGAGAUUACCCGAUAAAAGUAACCCUGGGGAUAACAGGCUAGUCGUGCCCAAGCGUCCAUAGCGACGGCACGGUUCGGCACCUCGAUGUCGGCUCGACUUAUCCUGGGGCUGGAGCAGGUCCCAAGGGUUUGGCUGUUCGCCAAUUAAAAAGUCACGUGAGCUGGGUUUAGACCGUUCAGAUUCUGAAUUUUUCGGAAUCUGAACCAAUCUAAACCCGAGGCGAGUAGUGGAGACUACUCACAAAGACAUCAUCACGGCGGCAGAAGCUAGUAAUAGUUUCUUGAAAAGUUGACUAUAUCGGUAGAGUCCUUAUACCAAAGUAUGUUAGGAUAAUACCGAGGGAAGUCUAUGUCGCUCAAUUCUCAAAUCUUCUUAGCUUACAUCGCUGGUUUCCUAGAUGGAGACGGUAGUAUCUAUGUGAGAGCAAAACCUAAUACCUCGUAUCGCUACGGGUAUCAGAUUGCUCCCUAUGUAGUAUUUUUCCAGUCUACUUCAGAAGCUAAA
rnacentral:rRNA from 1 species